GGGUGUUAGGGCACGACACCGGAGAGGGAGCCUGAGAAACGGCUACCACAUCCAAGGAUGGCAGCAGGCGCGCAAAUUACCCAAUCCCGACACGGGGAGGUAGUGACAAUAAAUAACAAUACGGGGUUCUUUAGGAUCUCGUAAUUGGAAUGAGUACAAUUUAAAUCUCUUAACGAGGAACAAUUGGAGGGCAAGUCUGGUGCCAGCAGCCGCGGUAAUUCCAGCUCCAAUAGCGUAUAUUAAAGUUGUUGCAGUUAAAAAGCUCGUAGUUGAAUUUCGGGGUUAGUAGGUUGGUCAUGCCUCUGGUAUGUACUGGUCUCACUGAUUCCUCCUUCCUGAUGAACCUUAAUGCCAUUAAUUUGGUGUUUUGGGGAAUUUGGACUGUUACUUUGAAAAAAUUAGAGUGUUUAAAGCAAGCUAACGCUUGAAUACAUUAGCAUGGAAUAAUGAAAUAGGACGUUCGAUCCUAUUUUGUUGGUUUCUAGGAUUGACGUAAUGAUUAAUAGGGAUAGUUGGGGGCAUUAGUAUUCAAUUGUCAGAGGUGAAAUUCUUGGAUUUAUUGAAGACUAACUACUGCGAAAGCAUUUGCCAAGGAUGUUUUCAUUAAUCAAGAACGAAAGUUAGGGGAUCGAAGACGAUCAGAUACCGUCGUAGUCUUAACCAUAAACUAUGCCGACUAGGGAUCGGAUGAUGUUAAUUUUUUAAUGACUCAUUCGGCGCCUUACGGGAACAG
rnacentral:rRNA from 1 species